GCCCAGGUGGCGGAAUUGGUAGACGCACCAGCUUGAGGGGCUGGCGUGGGAAACCACGUGCUGGUUCGAAUCCAGUCCUGGGCACCA
rnacentral:tRNA from 1 species